AGGAGUGUUGCUUAAUGGUUAGAGCAUGGGCCUGGAAAUCAGAAGGAUCUGGGUUCUAAUUCCAGCUCUACCA
rnacentral:tRNA from 1 species